AUUGAACGCUGGCGGCAUGCCUUACACAUGCAAGUCGAACGGCAGCACGGGAGUAAUCCUGGUGGCGAGUGGCGAACGGGUGAGUAAAGCAUCGGAACGUGCCCAGUCGUGGGGGAUAACGUAGCGAAAGCUACGCUAAUACCGCAUACGAUCUGUGGAUGAAAGCGGGGGACCGUAAGGCCUCGCGCGAUUGGAGCGGCCGAUGUCAGAUUAGGUAGUUGGUGGGGUAAAGGCUCACCAAGCCGACGAUCUGUAGCUGGUCUGAGAGGACGACCGGCCACCCUGGAACUGAGCCACGGCCCAGACUCCUACGGGAGGCAGCAGUGGGGAAUUUUGGACAAUGGGCGCAAGCCUGAUCCAGCAAUGCCGCGUGCAGGAUGAAGGCCUUCGGGUUGUAAACUGCUUUUGUACGGAGCGAAAAGGCUUCCACUAAUACUGGGGGCUCAUGACGGUACCGUAAGAAUAAGCACCGGCUAACUACGUG
rnacentral:rRNA from 1 species